AUUGAACGCUGGCGGCAGGCCUAACACAUGCAAGUCGAGCGAGCGGCGGACGGGUGAGUAAUGUCUGGGAAACUGCCUGAUGGAGGGGGAUAACUACUGGAAACGGUAGCUAAUACCGCAUACCAUCAGAUGUGCCCAGCUGGGGUUAGCUAGUAGGUGGGGUAACGGCGCACCUAGGCGACGCUCCCUAGCUGGUCUGAGAUGAUGACCAGCCACCCUGGAUCUGAGACACGGUCCAGACUCCGACGUGAGGCAGCAGUGGGGAAUAUUGCACAAUGGUCGCAAGCCUGAUGCAGCCAUGCCGCGUGUGUGAAGAAGGCCUUCGGGUUGUAAAGCACUUUCAGCGGGGAGUCGUUACCCGCAGAAGAAGCACCGGCUAACUCCGUGCCAGCAGCCGCGGUAAUUC
rnacentral:rRNA from 1 species